rnacentral:rRNA from 1 species
AUGGCGACCCCCAAGAGAAUUUACUCGCCUCUGUCGGAGAUCCCCGCCCACCUCUUGGAGCAGAUAUUCCUCCGGCUGCCCGACCCAGAAGACCUCGCCCGCACCUCCGCCGUCUGCGUUACCUUCCGCCGCCUCGUCACCGACGGCUCAUUCCUCCGCCGAUUCCGUCGCCUCCACCCACCACAAGUCCUCGGCAUCCUCGACCUCGGCGGGUUCCACCCCGCUCAGCCGCCUCACCCGUCGGCGCCCGCCGCCCGCGCGCUCGCCCUGGCCGCUGACUUCUCCUUUUCGUUCCUGCCUUCGCGCCGCCGACGGGCCGUCCAGGACGUCCGUGACGGCCGCGUCAUCCUCGUCCGCAAGCAAAACAUGAUGGCCGGGGAGCUCUCGAUGUUCCCGGAUCUUGUGGUGUGCGACCCCUUGCACCGGCGGUACGUCCUGCUUCCCCGGGUGCCUGACGACCUAGUGGCAUCGGUGGAGAGGCAAGAUGACGAAUUUUUAGGGUGGUCUUGCGAGCCCAGCUUCAUCCCACCUAGCGAUGAGGAGGCUGCCCUGGCGGAAGAGACGGCGUUCAGAGUGAUCUGGUCGGCAUGUUGCAAAACCAAUAUGGCCGUGUUUGUCUUCUCUUCGAGCACUGGGCAAUGGCGCCAUUUGGUGGACGGAUGCGUCUACUGGGUCUCGCCGAUGAACAAUACAGAUUUGCUUGUGCUUGACACCAGGACUAUGGAGUUCUCCGUUGCUGACCUCCCACCCGGAGAAUGGAGCCAGCAGGAUAUAGCUAUUGUGGAUGCAGGGGAAGGCAGGCUUGGGAUGUUUUGUGUAGAUGAUGAAAAUGCAAGUGAUAAAUCUUAUCUCUGUUAUACCAUCAGGCAAAACAAAGGCGAGAGCUCCGGCGAGUGGCAGAUGGAGAAAAUCUCACUAGGUUCUGGGUAUCGGUAUUGUAUCGGAGGUGGAACAGAGAAGUACUUGAUCCUACAAAGGAUAGAAGCCCAGAAGUACUUAUCGCUAACACCACCAAUCAUGGAAUUUUGCAAACUGAAUGUCAGGACAAUGCAAGUUGAGAGGAUUUGUGCUGAAUCUUGCGGGUUCUCUGGGUCUAAAGCGUUCAUAUAUACCAACUUCCCACCGUCGUUGUUGUCUUUACCGACAGUAUGA